GAUCUGACCGCUGGGCUGUCGUUGGAGUAGAUUUGCAGGAUAAUUCACAAGACCUGGCUGGACUGGAUAGGAAGCUCCAAUGAAACGGUACCACUGGACAGUAUUACCUCAGGGGAUGAAAGCCAGCCCCUUCAUCUGCCAGUGAAAUAACCUACCUCUUACUCAAAUCCAUGAUGAGCCUUAACCCUGCUGUCAUCCUGCUGACACUGAGCAGCCUGACAGCAGCCUGGAUCGUCCCACAGCCACGCCAGAACAUCUGGGUGACCCUGGCACAAACACUCCAACAGGAAAACAUAUGUCUAUCUACUGCAGCAGCAAAAAAAUCCUAUGUCUACCUGCCUGGUAGGAAUUCCUUUGCAGCAUGAUGAAUUCACACACAGCUUUAGUACACUGACUCGUGAAGCAGGUAAUAAACUACACAGCACUCAUGUAGAAGCAGAGUUAAGAAACCCCGUCGAA